GGCGGUGUAGCUCAGUUGGUUAGAGCAGCGGAAUCAUAAUCCGCGUGUCGGGGGUUCAAAUCCCUCCACCGCUACCA
rnacentral:tRNA from 1 species